CCUACGGGAGCAGCAGUGGGGAAUUUUGGACAAUGGGCGCAAGCCUGAUCCAGCAAUGCCGCGUGCAGGAUGAAGGCCUUCGGGUUGUAAACUGCUUUUGUACGGAACGAAACGGUCCUUUCUAAUAUAAGGGGCUAAUGACGGUACCGUAAGAAUAAGCACCGGCUAACUACGUGCCAGCAGCCGCGGUAAUACGUAGGGUGCGAGCGUUAAUCGGAAUUACUGGGCGUAAAGCGUGCGCAGGCGGUUAUAUAAGACAGAUGUGAAAUCCCCGGGCUCAACCUGGGACCUGCAUUUGUGACUGUAUAGCUAGAGUACGGUAGAGGGGGAUGGAAUUCCGCGUGUAGCAGUGAAAUGCGUAGAUAUGCGGAGGAACACCGAUGGCGAAGGCAAUCCCCUGGACCUGUACUGACGCUCAUGCACGAAAGCGUGGGGAGCAAACAGGAUUAGAUACCCUGGUAGUCCACGCCCUAAACGAUGUCAACUGGUUNUUGGGUCUUCACUGACUCAGUAACGAAGCUAACGCGUGAAGUUGACCGCCUGGGGAUACGGCCGCAAGGUUGAAACUUAAAGGAAUUGACGGCNGAGAGUGCGAGACGACGACGAGGGAGGAGG
rnacentral:rRNA from 1 species